AGAGUUUGAUCAUGGCUCAGGAUGAACGCUAGCGGCAGGCCUAAUACAUGCAAGUCGAACGGACCGCAAGGUCAGUGGCAAACGGGUGCGUAACGCGUAAUCAACCUACCCUCCACUGGGGUCUAGCCCGGCGAAAGCUGGGGUAAUCCCGCAUACGUCCCUUCCGUGGCUUCACGGGGGGGGGAAAGGUUUACUGGUGGAGGAGGGGAUUGCGUCUGAUUAGGUAGUUGGUGGGGUAACGGCUCACCAAGCCGAUGAUCAGUAGGGGCUCUGAGAGGAGGGUCCCCCACAUGGACACUGCGACACGGGUCCAACUCCUACGGGAGGCAGCAGUAGGGAAUAUUGGGCAAUGGGCGCAAGCCUGACCCACCAUGCCGCGUGCAGGAUGAAGGCUCUUCGAGUCGUAAACUGCUUUUAUCAGCGAAGAACCAGCGGGGUGCGCCCUGCUUUGACGGUAGUUGAUGAAUAACACCGGCUAACUCCGUGCCAGCAGCCGCGGUAAUACCGAGGGUGCAAGCGUUGUCCGGAUUUAUUGGGUUUAAAGGGUGCCUAGGCGGAUGCUUAAGUCUGGCUUAAAAGCUGGCCGUCAACGGUCAGUGGGGCUGGGUACUGGGCGUCUUGAAAUAAGUGGAGGCCUYCGGAACGG
rnacentral:rRNA from 1 species